GGUUUUCCCCGACUAAAUUUUGUCGGCAGAGUUCUAUGCCGACAAAAUAUGCCGGAUUAGGUUUCCCCCGACGAAAUUUAGUCGGCAGAGGUAUUUCAUCGGGAGAGGUCUGCGCACCUGUGCUUCUUUAUUAAUUUUUCACUGGUGCUUCUUUAGCUCACCAAACGAUGGGUUUUGCAGACAGAAACAGUUGACUUGUCUGAUCAAAAGAGCAGGUCAGAUGGUUCUCGGAAAUAUUUCAGGGAAAGUAACAUUGAGAGGCAUCGUUCAAUUGGUUCAGAUGGGCUUCCUUGUGUUGGUCAGACAAUAAAACCAGAUGAAGAAUAUUAUAGCAUCUAUAAUGAGGUAAAUUAAUGAGCAACAUGCCGUCAAACAAAAAGGUUCAGAGGAUGUUAUCGUUGACUAUGUUACAAUAGAUGGGAAGAAGCAUCUUCAGAAUCAUCCGCAGAAGGUGAACAUAAGCUUUUGACACCCUAGAAACCCUGUCAUUGGUGAUAAGUUUAGCAGCCGACAUGGACAAAAAGGUGUUUGCUCCCAGUUGUGGCCUGAUAUUGAUAUGCCAUUUUCUGAGGUUACGGGAAUGCGUCCAGAUCUUAUCAUCAAUCCACAUGCAUUUCCUUCAAGCAUGACAAUAGGAAUGCUCUUGGAAUCGAUUGCUGCAAAGACAGUAGUUGCUCUUGGAAGCGUUCGAGCAGAGUACGAGCUCAAAUCGUUCCAUCCGUAGAUAGGACUUGUGUAAAUUCCUUCUACUCAACUGUUUUUUGUAAACUAAUUCUGUUAGAUACUCUGUUAUCGCCCAUGUUAGGUUGUUACUUGAGGCCGGAGGCCACUUUACUUUGGAUUGUUGUAUGU